UACGUAGGUGGCAAGCGUUGUCCGGAUUUAUUGGGUUUAAAGGGUGCGUAGGCGGUUUCAUAAGUCAGUGGUGAAAUACGGCAGCUCAACUGUCGAGGUGCCAUUGAUACUGUGAGACUUGAGUACAGACGAGGUAGGCGGAAUUGACGGUGUAGCGGUGAAAUGCGCAGAUAUCAGGAGGAACACCAAUGGCGAAGGCAGCACUCUGGGACGUGACUGACGCUGAGACGCGAAAGCGUGGGGAGCAAACAGG
rnacentral:rRNA from 1 species